rnacentral:lncRNA from 1 species
GUGGCUGGAGACCCACAGUUGCAAGGAUCCCAUCGGGUCUCGGUGCCUGGUUGGCUCCUGGAUCCUAAGGUGCUUUCAGUCACGAGGAAAUAUCUAUGAAGUCAUCUUGGACCCCAAAAGCCAUUGCCCAAUGCUUUCAAGGGACUGGGUUCAGAAUGACCAUUCGUCAUUCCCAGAAAUCAAAGUCGCAUUCCAGGCAGGAAGGUUGGCUGUCACAGAGGCCAUUGGAACCAAUGUGAUGUGAUGUUUGAAGGCAGUUCCAAAUCUCAAAGCCGUCGUAGAGAUACUGGGAAUAAGAGUUUCUCAAAUGCUCCUGAGAAGGUCUCAGCGGUGGUUUGAAUGCCCACGCUCUGGCCUGCUAAAAGUAAUCAGGUGUGGUCACGCUGGUGGUCUCUCGGUGUGAACGGGUGGUCCCCAGGGCCGUUCUGUAGGGAGCGGAGGAGCAUGUGAGCGAAGGUCCUGGCAUCUUUCGAGGAGAGGAAGGGCCCUGGAGACUCUGGGCUGCAGAGAAACUGCCUGCUGUGCCCUUGUGUUUGGAGCCACCUCGUCAGCUUUGCCCAAAACCACCCUUGGUGGGAGGGAGCAGAGGAGACGGCGAGACCCUGUGGUUCAGUGAGUCAGCUGCUCCCCACAGAACGGGGAACCAGACUCUGUGAGAUGUUAAUUAUCUGUUAGAAAAAACAGUUUAUUUUACACAAUUUCAAAAACGAAAACUCAGUUCCAGGGCAGACGCUGUUAUUUAACUCCCUCCACUGACACGUACAUAUAUGCGCUCCAUAAAGGUAUGUGCGCAAAGUCAUAAAGUGGUGUUUUCAAAGGUGACAACAGAUGUUCUUUACUCGAAGCCAUAACCCCUACAUGCAUGGUGACUGAGUUGCAGCCAGAAAUGUGCUAUAAAAUGACAUUUCCUGCCCCCAAGUUUAGAUUGCCCAGGCCAUUCUAGAGAAGAGUAUUAAAUCUUAAAUACAAAACGAUCCACGCCAUUCCAGUAGUAUCACAUCAUUCGUAUCGUUUCUUGGGUUAUUUUAUCGGCUCAGUUUCCUAUGUUUCUCCAGUGAUAAAUUGCACUUUAAAUUAUUUCUUUAUUUUAUGGAGUGUGGAGUCAUAGUAAUUUCCUUGUCCCUGUUCCAUUAACUUCCUGGUAGCAUUGUUUGAAGUCUCCAGACCCUGAUGUGUAAUCCAACUGUUUUCCUCAUAUGUGGGAAGCAGCAAAUGGCUUGUUUACGUCAAAAACAAUUCUUGCUACCGUUUUCCUUUCUCUACAAGUCUUUUCCCAUGAAGACUUUGGCAGGGGCCGAGCGGGUAUUCUGGGGCUAAGCAUGAACCUGCUAGAUAGUAACAUUCCAGGAGUGUUUGAUGAUUGACUGAGUGUGAGACUGGACCUGGAAUAAAAUACUGAUCCCACCAAAGGAAGCUUAAAAAUUUGGAGAAAAAAUCACACCAGGAUUAUUUUUAUGUUCACUUUUUGUUGAGUUCCUUAAGAAGUCCUUCCCCACCCCCCACUUUUCUCAUGUCCUCUGUUCUACCCCUCCCUCCCCCCAUUUCACAAGAUAAGCGGGCCCUCGCUUUACCGUGAGGUCCAAGGUCAUCUAGCCAGUGCCCCUUCGGCUGGCUGCCCGUCUCCGAUCUCCUCCACGCGGCUCCCGCCUCCUCUCUAAGCCUGAACAGGCAUCGCUUUUCUUUCCCGAGGAAAUCCACUCCCACCGUGUCUGCGAUCUCAUUCCAUCCCUCACCUUCCUUAAUCCACCCCCACUUCUUCUCACCUGGAUUUUCCCUUUUCAGCUUCUCCUUUGUCUGCUAAUGCGGAAAAGAUCUAUAGUCAUAGGACUCAUUCAAAUCUAUAUCUUCAUAAACAAAACCCUUUCUCUGCCCCCUUGCAAUACGGCUCUGCCACUUUCUCUGAUCUCACUGUGAAACGUUUCCUUUGGGGAAAAGUCACCUAUGGAUUGUGUCUUUAUUCCUCAAAUGCCAACCCCUUUUCAGACACACUGUAAGUCUCUUUUGGCCCCCAAACUCCUCUACAAAUGUUCAGAGUUAAGAUUCUGGCUGAUUAUUAAGCAGGCAGCAAUGUGGAGGUGGAAAAAGCAGAGAAGAACUGGAGGUGGGAAACCUGUCAGUGGCCAUCACCAGCCGAAGGAAGCCAGAAGCAGUGAGGACCUGCUUUGGGCUGUGUUGGGUGUCGGCACAGGAGAGCUCGGCGGCAGGGACACCGCAGGCAGCAAGCCGGUGAGAGCCGGUGCCUGAAGGGCAGCGUGUUUCAAGCCUGAGUGUUUAAGAAAACGACACCAAAUACAAGGACCCUGGGAGGAGGAGACUGUGAGGGCAGGUGGGGUGCUGCUAAUGAUGAGGUUCCCUGUAGACCCGCAGAAUGGAUGGAGAACAAAGUUAGAAAUCCCAACAUCGGGCUUGAGAAAGAGGCGAGGCCAAGAUCAGACUUUGAGGUCAACUGCAUAGAUGAAAUGAAAGGGCAUCGCUAACUGUCGCUGGGAGUUUCCUGAGGAAGAAUGUACACGGGGCCAGAGAGAAGGUGACUUGGAGCUUUAGAGGAGGAGUCCAGGGGUUCCGGGACAGGAGGAGAAGGCCCCGAGGGAGAGGAGAAGGGGAAAUCGGAAUCUUGGAAAGCAGGAGUAGUUUCCAAAGGGGAAGCAUGGUCAGCAGGGCCAAAUGACCUGCAGCAUGUGAGGCACGCUGACCACGCAGGUGAGGCAGGCCGAGCACCCGUUUAGGAAGUAGCGGCUCAGGGACCGACGACCCAGGGUGCUCCUGCCUCCAGGGAAUGUGCAUUCCAGUGGCCGCGGGAGCAAACUGAAGAACUACAGUUAAUUCCCCGGAGAGCUGUACGGGGCGUGUUCCUGUCUCUAAUGUCACGUGGGCGGGUUUGGGGACCUGGCAGCCUUCCUCUGGCAGGUGAGGGCACCGAAAUCAGUUGCCUGAAUCUCCAUUACGGCUCCGCCACUCAUCAGCUGGGGGGCCUGCAGCAUAAGGUUUAUCUGCUCUUUUGCAAGUGCCUCACUGAUGGUGAGAAGCAUGAUCACAACUACCUCUCUUCAUAGGUUUAUGGUGAGGGUUUACUAUGUUAAAAAGUGUGACAUGACGGACAUGUAGGAAGCCGUCACACAGCUAAAUGGGGUCGUUUAAUCAUCUCUUCAUCCCGUUGGUGAGGGAGUGGUUCCUACCCUAGAGUCAUGGGGAUGGCCCAGCACGUGACCCCUGACUCUGGACAGAUGGGGUUUCCUUGUCUCAUAUUCUCCCAACCUGGGGAAGAGGACACCAUAUACCUUGCAGAGCCACCAGGGGCUUUGAGAACAGAGUGAUCCAGGAGGGCCUUAGGGAGGCUGGCUGUGUUGCAACAAGUGAGUGAGGUGGCCCUGGUUCCCCAGGGAGGACGUGGCUUGUUUGAAGAAUUCCAUGGGCUGGCGGGGAACCGAAACCCCCUACUCAGGCUGAAGCAGGGUCCCAUGAUAAGAGGUGCUCUUUGGCUGGGGGACCUUACCUCCUGGAGAGACAGGGAGGGACUUUGUGUGUACCUGUGAGAUGCCCUCCCGACUUUAUCCAAAGUCAGAGCAGCACUGGAUCCUGACCCCUGAUUCCAGGCUGAUGCACAGAGAUCUAGUGAAGAUGGGACCCAGGCAGUCUAGGUCCAAAGUCAUGCAGUCUACACUCUGCCACACUCCCUCUCACUUGGACAAAGUGGUUGUUUCCUGGGCAUGACUUAUGCCCCUCUAACACCAUUCAUCCCUGUGUCUUUGCCCAGAAUUCUCUCUUGAUGCUAAACUGCCCUUUGAAACCCUGCCUGUCUACCAAGGCCCAUCUCGAAUGUCACUUCCUCUGUGAAGCUUUUCUUUCUCUUAAUCAGAUGUGGUCCCCCCUUCAUUUCCAGGCAACACUGCAUAGGAGGAAAGGCAUGGCUUGGCAACUAGGAAACCAUGGUUCAGUUUCUGGCUUUGUUAUUUAUUUGCUUGGGGGAAAUAAAUUAAGCUUGAUUAGCCUUAGGUUUCCCAUUUUUCAAGUAGGGGUAAUAAUAUCUCUUUGAAAUAAUGUUAUGAGACCAUUCAUAAAAAUACAUGCAAAGGUGCUCACACAAUAGAUAUAAAUUUAAUGUAAAUUAGAAGGCACAUAAUAAAUAUGAAUUUCCUUCACUCCAAUUACUUUGUAUCUACCGAUACCUGUUGUAUUGGGCCUUAUGCCAUAAUUAUUUGUGUAUUUAUUUUAUGCACCCCCCUACCAGACCAUGAACUUGAAGAGAGAUGGUAUAUUCCACCUUUUUCAUUUUCACCUCUGUUCUGCUUCUUCACUGCUCACCAUCCCUUGCACGUGGGGAUAAUUUUUAUCAAGAGUGGAAGGAAAUCUCAGCAUAUGCUGCUCUAUAAAUCAGUAAAGCUAAUUAGGACCAUGCCGAGUGCCUCUCAUGCACACGGUUGCUUUAGCUGUUGAUAACACCUUUUAUUCCUGAAGUAAACAUGCCUGGAAAGGUAGUACAACUAUAUCAGUUUAUAUUAUGCAAAUCCAUAUUAGGAUGAAACCGAUAUAGCCAAUCCCAACUGAAUGCUAGGUUCGGAGUUCCUGUUGUGGCUCAGCAGGUUGAAGUCCAGCAUAGUCUCCAGGAGGGUCUGUGUUUAAUCCCUGGCCUCGCCGAGUGGGUUAAGGAUCUGAUGCUGUGGUGAGCUGUGCUGUAGGUCGCAGACACAGCUUGGGUCCAGUGUUGCUGUGGCUGUGGCAUAAGCCUGCAGCUGUAGCUCUGAUUUGACCCCUAGCCUGGGAAC